AUACAUAUGUGUGUCAAUUAAGUUUUCCGUCAUCCAGCAGCGGCUUAAUGUCUGCCGGAGUCGGCGUAUCACGCUAACAUGACAUCAUGGCCAAAAUUGUUAAUCGGCAGCAUGUGUGUGUGUUUGUUAUUUCUUCCAUCACUCAGCGACCAGUUUCACCCGCCAUCACCAAAAUUCAUACACACAUCUAACUCUAAUUCGUAAUCUGGUAAUUUUUGUUUUGAUGAAACACAUUUGCAGCUACAGACAUUUCGUUUAAAUAUUGGCACUGGUCAUUUGUGAAUGUCUAAACCGAGAAAUCGGCAUUAUUCAAUUAGAAAAAAAUAUUAAUUUAUUACAAUCAAGCGCAUACAACUAAUCGAAAAGCGUAGACAAGCAAGCAGGAAGCAUAAAAAGUUGAAAAUGCAAUUAAUGGAAGGAAAUUGUAGGAGCACAUGACAGGAAAUUUGUUUGAGUUUCGUCUUAAAAACGCGCCAUUAUUCCUUUUUCGGUCUUCCCAAAAAAAUUAAGUUUUAUAGUGGACGAAUAAGUUAUAAAAUGAAAUUAAUUAUAAACACCCAUGGUAUUUAUUUAAUGUGAAAUAUAGUCGAACCACUAUUUUUCGACAGCCAUUUUGAUCAUCUGUGGAAAGACUUGAAUCAAUAUGGGAAAAUAGGUUUUUCUUUACUAAUAUCACUGAUCUUCCUUUAUAAUUACUCUGGGGGUGUAUGUUGUGUAGUUUUGUGAUUUCCGCCUAGCAACCACGUUACCCGAUACAAACCAUGGUUCCUGGACUAAAGCCAUAUCGUAGCCGCCCUUCUCUAAAUUGAGAAGAAGCUCGGCAAAGGCGAUCUUACUUUUGUGGAGGUUCACUUGGAGCACCCUCAGCUCUUGGUUUUGGACCAUCAGACUGUGAACAGUGACAAGUGGGGUAGUCAUGUGACCUCUUCUAUGCGGAAAUCCUUUUCUACUUCACCCGCCUACAACGCGAUUUUAUUGCCGUCCGAUGGAAUACUGCUGCGGGCUAUCACCUCCUGUUUAGUUCCUUCCCACAGGUUUGGAAGCGUUCCGAUCGCUUCCCUUACCCAUGUUAGCGUCGUGUCGUUGUUACAUUUUAAAACGUUAAAAUUAUACUAAGCCAUCCUAUUCUAUCAAAUGAUUCUCGAGAAGAAGGCUUCCAAUAGCUUCAUUUCCACUAUUUUCCACCGCUCCUGUGACAUUUGUCCCAGCGGAUUACUCUGGUCUAUGCCGUUUUGCAAUCUCAUUGGCUGCCGCCGCUGCCUUGGACGUUGUGGGUUUGUCCGCGUGCUUGGCGUCUAGCAUCCCGGCUAGGCCUGUACAAUUCGUCUUUUCCAGAGGGCCAUUCGCCUCAUUACACCGAAUUCGAGUGGCGAAGUGUGUCGGCCGUUCUUUACCUCCUCUCUAGCCCAGGCCAGCCGUUUCACUUCCUUUUCCUUCAGGCUGGACUGGCCCUCGAGACGGUUGCAUAUUCCCAUCGCCGACAGGAGAGUGAAGAAGCUCUUGUUUUCUUUUCCGCGUCAAAGUUUACAACGCUUUCUUAGUACGAGUCUUCGUGGACUGUGGCACCUGUGCGCUGUUAAGCUAGUUUGGCAGUAGUCUGCUCCUGUUGCAGUGGAGGUGUGGCCGCUGGCGACACAGCUCCUAAGAGUGCUGUGCCCGACGGUGGUAGCAGCCUCGUCUACUACCGUCGCUUUCGUUCCUUUAUUGUUCUUCAUGUUUAUCGGGACUCUCUAGCAAUGGCAAUGGCCGUUGUAUUACCCAUUUACCUACUUCUUAGGAGUCGCCUGUUUGCAAUGUAAUGACUCUGACAGAAGCCGGCUUGAGAUCAUGACAUUGUAAGCAGCGACAAAAUUGCCUAGUCGCGUGGAGGUUACAGCUAAGAUGAUUUUUGCCGACCCACUUAUCGGUUAAAUCGCCGGUUAAUUACCCAUAACGCUAGCAAAGUUUCCCGUUAAAGUUUCUAUAAGCCCAAUAGACCUAACCGAAACUCUUGUGUACAUGAAAUCGUUUCUUCCUUACUUACGCAAAGGCCUUGUAAGUUGCACGGUGCAUAUGCAAAGUGACCUUACUCCACAGGUUAUAUUAGUUGUCCAAUUGCGGGAUCUUAUAACAUAUUGGCUACUAUUAAACUAUUUACCUCACCCUACCCUAUAAUAUGCUUACCGAGCUGCUCCUAUAACUUCAGCAACAAUUUCAUUUUUAAUCUUGAUUGUCAUUUAGAUCAGCCUUCGGUAAAAAUAACGCGCAAAAACGAGGAGAUGAUUCUUACACUUUACAGUAAUAUAUUGACUUCAAUUAAAAGUACUAUUUUCAAAGUAUAUUUUACAUGUGUAUUGUAUCUAUGUACUUGUUAUAUGCAUACAUUUGUUAGAAACGUCGACCGAUGGCGACGAUCGCACAUUUAAUUACGAUUCAAUUUUUACAAUUAUUAAAGCAAUGACAAUUGUAAUGAAACACAAAAUAAAUCACAGACGCUAUAACCCAUACGUAAGCUAACGAGGUCUAUUGCUUCGUAUAUUCAUACAUACAUACAUGCAAACACAGAGUUGUACGAGUGGUCCAAUAAGCAAUUUAAAGUCAAGUAACUUUAAGGAAGAAGGAAAUUGUUAAAGUCAUGCUCAAUCAUCAACAACAACAGCAAAAACAUCGGCUUCAACAGAUUUGAACUCAGCCUUUUGUAGUUUUAUCACGUAUUUAUUUGAAUUUUCUUUUUUGGUUCGGUUGGCUUAACAUCAGAUAAUCAAAACUUCAUAAGUACAAACAUAUUGUACUUGUAUUAGUGCCGGUUGAUUUACAAGGAGCCAACAAAAAACAACACAAAAAGUGUCGCAUGCGGGAUAUAUUCUAUGGAGCAUUUUGAACAAUUUUACCUAAGGAACCGUGGGUCUAAAACCAGCGAUUUUAAGGCAAAGUUUUUUAGCGAUCAUAAAAAUUUGAGCGUCAGUUUUUGAGAUAUACGACUGAAAUUUAUUACGCAGGCGCACUUUGAUAUUCCAUUGAUCAUUUGUUGGAAUCGGCGAAAUCGGACAACUAUAUCACAUAUCUCCCAUACUAACAAUUAUUCACAUUUUUUAAACUUCGCCUUAAAAAUCGCUGAAUCGAAACCAAUUUUAGAUUUUAGUUGCUUUGGUUUUAAUUUCUUAGGAAAAGUUAUUCAGUA